rnacentral:rRNA from 1 species
AAUGAACGCUGGCGGCAGGCCUAACACAUGCAAGUCGAACGAGGCAGCAAUGCCUAGUGGCGGACGGGUGAGUAACGCGUGGGAACGUGCCCCUUGGUACGGAAUAGCUCUGGGAAACUGGGAGUAAUACCGGAUGUGGUCGAGAGACGAAAGAUUUAUCGCCAAGGGAUCGGCCCGCGUUGGAUUAGGUAGGUGGUGGGGUAAUGGCCUACCAAGCCGACGAUCCAUAGCUGGUUUGAGAGGAUGAUCAGCCACACUGGGACUGAGACACGGCCCAGACUCCUACGGGAGGCAGCAGUGGGGAAUCUUAGACAAUGGGGGAAACCCUGAUCUAGCCAUGCCGCGUGAUCGAUGAAGGCCUUAGGGUUGUAAAGAUCUUUCAGUGGGGAAGAUAAUGGCGGUACCCACAGAAGAAGCCCCGGCUAACUCCGUGCCAGCCGCCGCUGUAA